GACGAACGCUGGCGGCGUGCGUAACACAUGCAAGUCGAACGAGAGAGUGAGAGAAGCUUGCUUUUCUUAUGAUCGAGUGGCAAACGGGUGAGUAACGCGUAAACAACCUGCCCCGCAGAUGGGGACAACAGCUGGAAACGGCUGCUAAUACCGAAUACGGUCCUCUUAGCGCAUGGUAAGAGGAAGAAAGGGUGGCCUCUGGAACAAGCUACCGCUGUGGGAGGGGUUUGCGUCUGAUUAGCUGGUUGGAGGGGUAACGGCCCACCAAGGCGACGAUCAGUAGCCGGUCUGAGAGGAUGAACGGCCACAUUGGAACUGAGACACGGUCCAGACUCCUACGGGAGGCAGCAGUGGGGAAUCUUCCGCAAUGGGCGAAAGCCUGACGGAGCAACGCCGCGUGAGUGAAGACGGCCUUCGGGUUGUAAAGCUCUGUUAUAGGGGACGAACGGCCGGGUAGCGAAGAGGUACCCGGCAGACGGUAC
rnacentral:rRNA from 1 species